ensembl:rRNA 5S_rRNA 5S ribosomal RNA
GUCUACGGCCAUACCACCCUGAACGCGCCCGAUCUCGUCUGAUCUCGGAGGCUAAGCAGGGUCGGGCCUGGUUAGUACUUGGAUGGGAGAUUGAAAUGUACUAAAUAAGAUAGCUAGCACAUUUUAAUCA